GGAUAGGCAUCGUCCACGUCGAGGCGGGAAAACUAGAAAAUAGCAACAAGUCUUACUAACUAGUUCUAUUAAUUCAACUAGUUCUUACUAAAAAUAAACUUACUAUAAAUAAAAAUAUUCUAGUACCUAAUUAGUACCUAGUUCUUACUAAGUAAUUAGUACCUAGGAACUACUGCCCUAAUUACCAUCUAAUUUGAUGAACCUAUAGGGGUGAAAAGUGGUAGCGGAUAUUCCAAUUAUCCAACUAUAAAGUGAAAUAAGUGGUCAAAUUUUACUCGUUUUAUGAUUCAUCUUAGAAAUUUGAUUCGUUUCCACCCUUACAUGAACCCUAACUCAUUUGAGCCGCAUCCGCAUCCGAUUUGUUUCCACUCUUACAUGAACCCUAACUAAUUUGAUGCAACUAAAGUAUAAAGAAACCCUAGGCAGAGGUAGGGGAAAGGGAGGAGCAGGCGUGCUCACCUCGGGUGCCUGCGACGAGGGAGGGGCAGGGCGGCGUCAAGGUCAGGGUCGGGGCUCGGGCGCGCGGCGGAUGGCGGCGUCGAGGUCGGGGUCGGGGGCGGCGUUCGAGGCGGCGUUGAGGUCGGGGGCGGGGGCGGCGUUGAAUCUGGGGUCGGGACGGCAUAGAGGGUGUGCGGAGAGCGCGCGGCGGCUGAUGGGCGACGGCGGCGACGAGAGUGGAGAGUUGGAUUUGGGGGAAGUGGCCGUGGGGAAGGACGAACCCCAUGGUUAAGUCAGAAGUAGCAGUAGCGCGUUCCAGGAAGAACGCUGCUGCUACGUUAGCUACAGCGCGUUCUGGGAUACACGCUGCUGUUACUCCUUUCUCUUUUUUCCCUUUUCAUUUAGUUUUCUUCAAAUUUUAUUUUAUUUCCUUUCAUCUUAUUCUAUUUCUUUCAUUUUCAAUUACCUUUCUAUUUUCUUUCCAUUUAAUUUUAUAUCCUUUAGCAGUAGCGAGUUUAGAUUAAAACACGCUGCUACAAAUAAAGUAGCGGUAGCGCGGUUCGUUAUAGGUCGCUACUACUAUGUGUAGCCUAUCGGCUAAGCCGUGGGAAUUUUAGUAGUGAUGUGUUUAGAGCAAGACGCGCUACUGCUAGAACUUUAUCUGCAGCGCGGUUUUCUCAGGCGCGCUACUGCUACUUAGCACCAACGUGCUUUUUUGACCCUCGCUACUGCUAAAGUUCUGUGUAUAAGGUUUUCCCUAGUAGUGCUAGGGGGUUCAUCAACACAUGUAUAAGCUUCAGAAGAUAAAGGAACAUAUCUAGCUACCUCAUGCGCUGCCAUGUUGACUUCCCUUGGACAAUGAGCAAAUUUCACUUCAUCGAACUUGUUCUGAACUAUUUGGUCCAGAAAACCCUCCUUCCAUCAUAGUUGGAUUACCACCUCGUUAUCUGACUGAAGAACAACCCUAUUCAGGCCUAUAUGUUCGGCAAACCAUAUACCAUCUCUAGUUGCCAUUGUUUCAGCCAUUAAAACAUCAUCUGCAUAAUCAAUUUUAAAACUUCUCGCAGCAACAAAACCACUAGUUGUAUCUCUAAUAACAAUGCCAGAAGAGCCUUGUUUAGUAUCACAGUUAAAAGCUGCAUCUACAUUGACUGCAUAAACCCCUUUAGGAGGACAACUCCAAGUAGGACCUGUGGUAGUAGCUAUUCUUUUCUUUACCCUUGAAAAGUUCAGUGGUAGAGCAAAAAUAGACAUCACCGAUCUACCAAUCGACUGGAUUUGCUCUCCAUGCGUAACUUGUCUCCGCUGCCACCAUAGAAACCAGCUCGCCGUAAGAACAAGAUCCCCAACAUGCAAGAACUAUAGUGAGUAUUUGUUCGUUCUUAUCAUCUCGUCCAGCACCAAUAGAUUCCGAGCGAUCUAAAUAAAUGGACAUCACCUCCUUAAGCCUAUGUUCUUUCCACACUGGCUUGCUCUUUCUCACAUUGGGAAAAACUGUUUUGCUAAGUCUCAGUCGACUUAGACUUCGUUAUGUCUGAGUCGGUGUUAUAUUUCUUUGAUCUUGCAAGGAGAUUCGUAAAAAAAAUCUUUACGGUUUUUUUUCUCCUUAUACUAUAUCACUUGACUAAAACAUGGUUAAGUCUCAGUCGACUAAGACCUAACCACACCCAUUGAAAAAUCAUGUGUUUGAGGUCCUCAUAAGUCAUAACCCACUUGGCAUAGGGAGUGGCUACAGAUCAAUCGACUGACUCAAAAAGUGGUCAGUCGAAUGUUAACAAAGGGAAAAGAUUGCAACCCAGAAAGAAAGCUGACUGACCCAAAACUAUUGUCAGUCAGUCAGCCCAACAGAAAGAAAGCCUUAGAACAUUCUGUUUCUUUCUUCUGUUCUUUCUUUAGCCCAGAGAGAAAACGGGCCUGAAUCCGCUAAGCUAAAGAUCCAGUCAUCGUAUAGCUCACUAGCAGGGCCGGUCCUGAGAUUUCCGGGGCCCGGGGCGAGACAACACGGAGGGGCCCUAAAGCCACAUAAACAUGUGCAUAUUUUUAUGUCUAUUUCAACUGCAAAUAAAUAUUUAGCAAACUAUAAUUUAUGGUGCCUUGUCUUCUUGACUAUUAAGAAACUGGGGUCAUAAACAUUCACAGUAAAAGUGGAUCUCCACCCUUAUACUGUAUAUAUUUGUAUUAUUAGGUGAAUUAGUAGCACUAUCAUGCCUACUAAUUUUUUUAUCUUCCUAUAGUUUUCACUAGUUGUUCUUGAACAACUAAAGCUAACUCCUUGGAGUUCCUAGCAGUAGAAAUAUUGUUUCUUUUUGCAGGGAAUCCGUAGAGCACUUGUAUCUGCUCUAAAAAAAUGUCAACACCUCAUGUGAGACUCAAUUAACUCAUAUGCUUGUGUUUCCUCAAUUAUCAGAUGGAUUUUUUUCUGGAUAGCAUCUUGCUAAAUGAAUGGCAAUCUUGCUAAUCAGCACACAACAUAUGAUACAAGAAAUUAAGAGUACUGCUAAUUAAAUAAAAGUGCUAAGUAAGGCAUGGAACAAGUUACCUGGAUGGCUAGAAAAAUUGAAGUCGCAUAAUUUUGCUGUUGCGUCACGGACAGAAGUCAGAGUUUUUGUUUUCUAAUCCGAAUCAAUACAAGAAACUAGAGUAUAUGAGAAAAAGAGACGUACGAGGAUAAUCUUCAGGAAACGAACGACCAACAAGAAUAGAAAGAAAAAAUUUGCAUUGAAGAGAAGAUUGUUGGGAAUCUGGAAACCACAUUACCUUCUUCCACUAAUGGCGCCUAGCAGCCAAAAAUUACAAUUAGACGAGUGGGAGGGGCGCCGUCAUUCAUGGCAUGGCUGAUUUGUUGCCAAUUGGGGAGGAAGAGUAUUAAGCCGAGAGGACUGCACGGCGUGUUAAUCCAUUAAUUAUUUUUUGUUUCCUUUUGGAGAAUCAAUCAACCGGCAAAACAAUCACACGUAUACAGGGAAACCAAAUCAAUCGGGGGGCCCUUCCUACUCGUGGGCCCGGGGCGCCCGCCCCCCCUGNNN
rnacentral:lncRNA from 1 species